rnacentral:piRNA from 1 species
UGUUAAUCAGAAUUUUUCCCUUCUCUGGU